rnacentral:sRNA from 1 species
UGCCUAAACUCGUCAAUCUCUGACGAGCAUGGCUAAAAGACCCAAGGAUGACACUGAACCCCGCGUUCAGCAACUCAUCCUUGGGCUAUAUUCCGAAAGGGAUAUAGGGUCGCAAGACCU